UGCGGCGACUCAGGCCUGUAAUCCCAACACUCUGGAAGGCCAAGGCAGGCAGAUCACAAGAUCAGGAGUUCGAGACCAGCCUGGCCAACAUGGUGAAACCCCAUCUCGACUAAAAAUACAAAAACCCUGUCAUUGCAGCUGGAGCACUGUCCCUUCUGGCCAUGGCUGUGCACAGAGCUGCAAAGGAGGCUGGGAAAGUGGGUAUCUGGUAUUUUCUCUACCCAUAGGAAGGCUCUGCCACCUAACAAGCCUCAGGGGGUACAGAGUUCCCCCCAAAUAGGAAGGGCAUUGAGAGUUGAGAUGCCAGGCAACCAAAUCUCAGGCAAAUGUGCACAUAUCAAUCAGGUUAGGCUCAGUAAUGCUGUAGUAACAAAAACAUCUUAAAUCUGAGGGGCUUAAAAACAACCAAGGGUUAUUUCUGGGUCACGCCUACAUGUCCAGCAAGGGGCUCCAUUCCAGGACUUUCUUAACUCAGACCUCAGGCUGCUGGAGCCGCCUGAUCUCAAAUAUUUCCCACAGUCACCAUGGCAGAGGGAAGGGGUGAUUAGAGCAGCAAUUACAGGCUCCCGACCAGAAGUGACAUACGUCACUUCCACGCAUGGCUCACUGGCCAGACCUAGUCACAUGGCCCUGCCUUGGGGCCAGCAAGUGCCGUCUUGCCUCAGAUCUGGAGGGCA
rnacentral:lncRNA from 1 species